rnacentral:rRNA from 1 species
GAACGAGAAAGUGGAGCAAUCCAUGAGUACAGUGGCGUACGGGUGAGUAACACGUGACUACCUGCCCUCGAGUGGGGAAUAACCUCGGGAAACCGGGGCUAAUACCGCAUAACAUCGAGAGAUCAAAGCAGCAAUGCGCUUGAGGAGGGGGUCGCGUCUGAUUAGCUAGUUGGUAGGGUAACGGCCUACCAAGGCGAUGAUCAGUAGCCGGCCUGAGAGGGCGCACGGCCACACUGGAACUGAGACACGGUCCAGACUCCUACGGGAGGCAGCAGUGGGGAAUUUUUGGCAAUGGGGGCAACCCUGACCAAGCAACGCCGCGUGGGUGAUGAAGUCUCUUGGGACGUAAAACCCUUUCGACGGGGACGAAGCCGCAAGGUUGACGGUACCCGUAGAAGAAGCCCCGGCUAACUCCGUG